rnacentral:misc_RNA from 1 species
UGUGGGAGCGAGCCUGCUCGCGAAUGCGGUGUUGUCAGAUACAAAUUACUUCACUGACGCAUCGCUUUCGCGAGCAGGCUCGCUCCUACA